GUUUUCUUCUCCCUAAAAUGUAUUUGAAACAANCUUACACUUUUACUGUCAUCCCUGCUGCUUAGUUAAUUUCCCCCUCCUGCUAUAUGUAACCUAAGCUGGAAAUCUGGAAUGGCAGAAAGGCUCAUAUGAAGCAAAAACCUUGCCCUUUGUUUGUAUUUCUGUGCUAGAGUAUCUAGCAAAGCAUAUCAUCUAAACUGUUCUUUCUGCCUCCCUCAGUCCUGCGUUCGCCUGUAGAUAAAGCCAGUGGCAACUUGCAAAACCUCUAUCAAAGACCUGCUGAACACAGCUCUCUCUGGUUUUGACGAGGCUCUUUCUUUACUGGGCACUGGAUUUGGGAUUUCUCCCAUGUCCAACUCUGCCAGCCAAUGCUUCUUUCCUUCCCCGACUUCCUUCAAGGGGAGCUCCAACCUAAGGCAGGAAGUUGAGGAGACUGCCNAGGUGUCCAAGCAAAGAUGCACUUGGAUUAACUUCCUAACCUGCAGAUGCUUAUGCUCCUUGCCAUGUCAUGCCAACAAGACAGUGAAGCGCAUUGGGGCCGCUUGUCUGAUUUCCUUGCUUGGCUUGAUGGGAAACGUCUUCCUGGAUGUCCGUCAAACGCUGCAGUUGUGGAGAAAUGCUGAAGAGGUCCUGGCCAGACUUCCAUCGUGCCAAAGCUUGUUGGUUCUCCACCUUGCUGACCUCCUCCAAAAAUCCGGGAAGCCAGCUAAAAGCAAGGCUUCCAACAGCACCCCUUCGCCAGACCACCUGUUGGAGAACNUGGCCAUUUUAUGCAAAGAGUCCGAAGAAGCGUUCUGCAGCACGUACCAAGAGUGCAAGAAAGACGAAGACUUUGGGUGCCAUACUUUCCUCACCAAGCUAAGGGUGAANCUGAGGAGCCACCAAGGAAAAGAGUGGGCAUGGAGAAGGUUUAGAUCAGAAAUCCUGGAGAUCUUAGGCAGUCCAGAAGAGGACCUGAACGUUAUGGAUUUCAACUCUGACUGGGUGGAUGUAGCUUCUCUCCAAAUCGUAUUCAGAAUGAAAGGAGCCAUCCUGAAGUCCAAGCAGACGUCCUCCUCACCAUCUGAAGAUCUUCUAGCCCUUUGGCAUCAGCUGCGGGCUGCCAUCUCCUUCCCUG
rnacentral:lncRNA from 1 species